UACGGGGGGAGCAAGCGUUGUCCGGAAUUACUGGGCGUAAAGGGCAAGUAGGCGGAUUGUUAAGUCAAAAGUGCAAUGUACCCGCUCAACGGGUGCCUGCUUCUGAUACUGGCAGUCUUGAGACCUGAAGAGGAGAGCGGAAUUCCAGGUGUAGCGGUGAAAUGUGUAGAUAUCUGGAAGAACACCGAUGGCGAAGGCAGCUCUCUGGUAAGGUUCUGACGCUGAACUGCGAAAGCGUGGGGAGCGAACAGGAUUAGAUACCCCGGUA
rnacentral:rRNA from 1 species